rnacentral:lncRNA from 10 species
GUUUCAUCAGAAGCCGGAGGACGGGCGCCAGGGGGCAACUUCCUACAGGAGGGCGUCCCGUUAGAAUGACAGGGCUUUUGCAAAAGUCUGACACCCGUGGCACAGAGCGCCCCAGAUAUGGAGGGUUUCACAGGCUCAUGUGUGGCUUCUUCAGUCCUCUCUUCAUUCACUCAUGUAUUCAUUUAUUCAACGACAUAUUACUAAGGAACCUCCUUAAGCCGGGAUGCUGAACGUGGAAAAAUAGGUGAAAUAUAAUUUUACCCCUGAGAAGCUCAUAGGCUAAAAAAAAUAUUGAUUUGGGAUAAAUGUAUGUUAAGUUGACUCUUGAACAAUGUGGGGGCUUGGGGCACCAACCCCCUGUGCAGUUGAAAAUCGACAUAUAACUUUGACUCGCCAAAAACUUCACUACAAUAGCCUGCUGCCAACCUGAAGUCUUACCAAUAACAUCAACAGUCAAUUAAACAUAUUACGUAUGUUAUAUGUAUUCUAUGCUGUAGUUUUACAAUAAAGUAAGCUGGAG